UGAACAAAAUAUAUUUCUAUACAUCAAAACAAUCUAAACAAUUUUACUAUGUAGGAAGUAUAUACUAUAAUCGUGCUAUCAUUAUAAUAUUAUUGAAAUUCCUUUUUUAUAAUAGUAUUCAUGUAAUUAUAAUAUUACAAUUAACAAUAGUUUGUAAUAAUUUAUCGUUACAUUCAAAUAUAAAUUAUAUUCCCCUCUACACCCUACCUUGUCCAUAGUUUGAUAUAAAAUGUAAGUACCAAUCCCUCUCUUUUUAUCCUCGUAAAAACCCCACAAUUCACUGUCACUUCCACACCCUCACUAGUCACUACAUGGUUUUCUUCAUGCUGACUCAAAGUUGAGUAAGUAGGUACCUAUAUAAACUACUAUUUAGACACUUGUGGUGACUUUGUUCAUUAUUCAUAGAUGUCCUCGAAUACCGUAACACAAAAAAUAAAUUCCGGCUAAUAAUUUGAAUAUUACCUACUAUUCUUUGGAAUAAUAAAAUACACCGAAAUGACCAAUUUAAAAUAAAAUUAAUCGGUGUGCAUGUCCCUCCCCUAACUAUGACAUUAUUGUCCACUAUUCAGAGGUUUAUUUUAGACAAUUAAUACCCUUAUGUGUAAUCUUAUAACUGAAAUAACUCCCUGAAAUAAUAGCACGGGUAAUAAUUUUACAAGUUCCAUUUUACCAAGUUUACCCAAAUAUAUAUUCUGCAGUAGUCGUAUUUACAGUGGCGGGAUGUUGGGGGUUCCCCUACCUAGAGCCACAUAACUUCUAUAUUGGUGGUCUUGGUGUGAUUUAGAUGGACUUUGCUGUGUAAAUUGUGUAGAUAUACCCUCUCCCGAGUUAAGUACUUACUAAAAUUGUUUCAUUAUGGCGGUGAAACAUA